rnacentral:rRNA from 1 species
GAUGAACGCUGGCGGUAUGCCUAACACAUGCAAGUCGUACGAGAGUUUUUAACUCUAGUGGCGGACGGGUGAGUAACACGUGAGAAUUUGCCUUUAGGAGGGGGACAACAAUCGGAAACGAAUGCUAAUACCCCAUAUGCUUUCGAGUGAAAUGGAUUUUAUCCGCCUAGAGAGAAGCUCGCGGCUGAUUAGCUUGUUGGUAAGGUAAGAGCUUACCAAGGCGACGAUCAGUAUCUGGUUUGAGAGGACGAUCAGACACACUGGAACUGAGACACGGUCCAAGACUCCUACGGGAGGCAGCAGUGGGGAAUUUUCCGCAAUGGGCGAAAGCCUGACGGAGCAAUACCGCGUGAGGGAAGAAUGCCUAUGGGUUGUAAACCUCUUUUUUCAGGGAGGAAUCAAAUGACGUGUACCUGAAGAAUAAGCAUCGGCUAACUCCGUG